CGUACACUCCUGCGGGAGGCAGCAGUGGGGAAUAUUGGACAAUGGGCGCAAGCCUGAUCCAGCCAUGCCGCGUGAGUGAUGAAGGCCCUAGGGUUGUAAAGCUCUUUCACCGGUGAAGAUAAUGACGGUAACCGGAGAAGAAGCCCCGGCUAACUUCGUGCCAGCAGCCGCGGUAAUACGAAGGGGGCUAGCGUUGUUCGGAUUUACUGGGCGUAAAGCGCACGUAGGCGGACUAUUAAGUCAGGGGUGAAAUCCCGGGGCUCAACCCCGGAACUGCCUUUGAUACUGGUAGUCUUGAGUUCGAGAGAGGUGAGUGGAAUUCCGAGUGUAGAGGUGAAAUUCGUAGAUAUUCGGAGGAACACCAGUGGCGAAGGCGGCUCACUGGCUCGAUACUGACGCUGAGGUGCGAAAGCGUGGGGAGCAAACAGGAUUAGAUACCCCGGUAGUCCCAUGA
rnacentral:rRNA from 1 species